UACAGAGGUCCCAAGCGUUGUUCGGAUUCAUUGGGCGUAAAGGGUGCGUAGGCGGCGCGGUGAGUCGGGUGUGAAAUCUCGGGCUUAACUCCGAAACUGCAUUCGAUACUGCCGUGCUUGAGGACUGGAGAGGAGACUGGAAUUUACGGUGUAGCGGUGAAAUGCGUAGAUAUCGUAAGGAAGACCAGUGGCGAAGGCGG
rnacentral:rRNA from 1 species